AACGAACGCUGGCGGCAUGCCUAACACAUGCAAGUCGAACGAGACCUUCGGGUCUAGUGGCGCACGGGUGCGUAACGCGUGGGAACCUGCCCUUAGGUUCGGAAUAACUCCCCGAAAGGGGUGCUAAUACCGGAUAAUGUCUUCGGGCCAAAGAUUUAUCGCCUUUGGAUGGGCCCGCGUUGGAUUAGCUAGUUGGUAGGGUAAAAGCCUACCAAGGCGACGAUCCAUAGCUGGUCUGAGAGGAUGAUCAGCCACACUGGGACUGAGACACGGCCCAGACUCCUACGGGAGGCAGCAGUGGGGAAUAUUGGACAAUGGGCGAAAGCCUGAUCCAGCAAUGCCGCGUGAGUGAUGAACGCCUUAGGGUUGUAAAGCUCUUUUACCCGGGAUGAUAAUGACAGUACCGGGAGAAUAAGCUCCGGCUAACUCCGUG
rnacentral:rRNA from 1 species